UUUUAAUGGUGAGCUCAUUGUCAAAGGGAAUUGUUUGAAAGGGUCCAACUGCUCUGGACUGUGGCAAUAUCAAGUGGGAUGUUUCUCAUUGGCCUCUGCUGUGAUCCUCCAGGGCUAAACACACUAAGAGUAGUUCUGCUGUUAACAAUAAGGCCUAGACACUGUAGUAUUUUCACAUAGUAUAGUACUCUGGAUGUAAAAGCUCAAAAAUUGUGAUUCCUUGAACGUUCACUACAUCUUCAAGCAAAAACACAUUUUUACAUUAUUUUUACGUUGAUUAUUUUAGUGAAAGACCAUAUGAAGAAGCAUUUUUAAUAUUAACGUUACGUACUUUGAUCCACUUUACAUCAUUUUUAUGUUGUUGAGGUAGGGAAAUUAGGGUUCAGUUUAUCACUGGACAUUCAGGAGGCAAGUCAAUCUUUUUUAUUUCCUUAUAAAAUUAACUCUUCAAAAACUGUUAAACAGAGAGUUAUCUUAAUUUUUAUUGCAGUAGGAGGAAAUAUAUUUAAAAUAUUUGUAGAUUUAUAGCAAAUAGAGACUCGUUAUUUAAAGGUUAAAUAACAGUUUGUUCUUUUGUUGUUUUUGCCAGUUUAGGGCAGUAGCUGCUUUUGUCAUAAAUAUCUUCCUACCACAUCAAAAAUGCUGCUUUUAAAAUUUUUGUUUAUAAAUUGAGAAGGAAUUUUCUCUCUAUAAGUUUCUGUCGUUGAACACAUCACCAUCAAAAAGAAUAUUAGAAUCCAGCAUGAAGAUAAUGUCUAAUAAAAAUGAGGUACAUACUUUAUAAAACCAUUAAUCAGAUUUGAAUGAGGAAUGCUUUCCACAUCCUUGAAAGAAAAACUGUGGCUUACGUUUUGAAGUAUUCUGAGAAUGAAAUGUAUUUUUUUUUUUAAUUUAUUUUUUUUUGAGACGGAGUCUCACUCUGUCGCCCAGGCUGGAGUGCGGUGGCGCGAUCUCGG
rnacentral:lncRNA from 1 species